GACGAACCGUGCGAACGUUAUUCGGAAUCACUGGGCUUAAAGGGCGCGUAGGUGGUUGAUCAAGUCUGGGGUGAAAUCUUUCGGCUUAACCGGAAAAGUGCCUUGGAUACUGGUCAGCUGGAGGGAGGUAGGGGCAGUUGGAACUUCCAGUGGAGCGGUGAAAUGCGUUGAUAUUGGAAGGAACGCCGGUGGCGAAAGCGAACUGCUGGACCUCUUCGUGACACUGAUGCGCGAAAGCUAGGGGAGCAAACGGG
rnacentral:rRNA from 1 species